rnacentral:rRNA from 1 species
GCUCGAGUGGCGAACGGGUGAGUAACACGUGAGUAACCUGCCCUUGACUUUGGGAUAACUUCAGGAAACUGGGGCUAAUACCGGAUAGGAGCUCCUGCUGCAUGGUGGGGGUUGGAAAGUUUUGGCGGUUGGGGAUGGACUUGCGGCUUAUCAGCUUGUUGGUGGGGUAGUGGCUUACCAAGGCUUUGACGGGUAGCCGGCCUGAGAGGGUGACCGGCCACAUUGGGACUGAGAUACGGCCCAG